rnacentral:rRNA from 1 species
GCUCAGUAACACGUGGACAACCUACCCUGUGGAGGGGGAUAACCCCGGAAAACUGGGGAUAAUACCCCAUAGGUUAGGGAGGCUGGAAUGCCCCCUAGCUCAAAGGUCCGCCGCCACAGGAUGGGUCUGCGGCCGAUUAGGUUGUUGUUGGGGUAACGGCCCAACAAGCCUUUGAUCGGUACGGGUUGUGGGAGCAAGAGCCCGGAGAUGGAUUCUGAGACACGAAUCCAGGCCCUACGGGGCGCAGCAGGCGCGAAAACUUUACAAUGCGAGAAAUCGUGAUAAGGGAACCCCGAGUGCCCGUAAAUUCGGGCUGUCCGCCAGUGCAAAAAACUGGUGAAGAAAGAGCCGGG